GUACUGGUGUAAACCUUCCAUAGUCAUGGAGCUGAAAUAAAUAAAUACAUUUUUACAAGCAAAGUAAAUGCAGUUUGAAGUAAAGAUUAUAGGUCUUUCUGUAUUUUACUAAGGCAUCACCAAACUGAUAACUUCUUCAGUUUUUUUCUUUAAAAAUGGGAAGAGCAUGAAAAACAACUAUCUAUUUAUACUGCCAAGUGCCCUUUCGAGCAUGGUAGGCAGACAUGGACAUUAUCGAGUCGGUUUCCUGGGAAGAACCAGUACUUGGUGUCCAUGGAGGAGAUAAUUAGAAUGCUUCCCAAGUAAGGAGUGAACCCACUAACACCCGAUCGCUAGGCGGAUAUCUCAUCCACUACAACACCGCGACCUUGAACUACAAAUAUUUUUUUAUGUCCCCCACUAUAGAAGUGGGGGACAUAUUGUUUUUGCCCUGUCUGUUGGUUGGUCUGUUGGUUGGUUGGUUUGCGCCAACUUAAACAUUUUGCAAUAACUUUUGCUAUAUUGAAUAUAGCAACUUGAUAUUUGGCAUGCAUGAGUAUCUCAUGGAGCUGCACAUUUUGAGUGGUGAAAGGUCAGAGGUCAAAUAUAUGUGGCCUAAAUUGCUCAUUUUAUGAAUACUUUUGCAAUAUUGAAGAUAGCAACUCGAUAUUUGGCAUGCAUGUGUAUCUCAUGGAGCUGCACAUUUUGAGUGGUGAAAGGUCAAAGUCAAGGUCAUCCUUCAAGGUCAGAGGUAAAACAUAUUUGUCCCAAAUCGCUUAUUUUAUUAAUACUUUUGAAAUAUUGAAGAUAGUAACUUGAUAUUUGGCAUGCAUGUGUAUCUCAUGGAGCUGCACAAUUUGAGUGGUGAAAGGUCAAGGUCAUCCUUCAAGGUCAAGGUCAUCCUUAAAGGUCAAAUAUAUGGGUCAAAAUUGCUCAUGUAAUGUCACUUCUGCAAUAUUGAAGCUAGCAAUUUUAUAUUUGAAAUGCAUGUGUAUCUCAUGGAGCUGCACAUUUUGAGUGGUGAAGGGUCAAGGUCAUCCUUCAAGGUCAAACAUUAUUUAGGGGGACAUUGUGUUUCACAAACGCAUCUUGUUUCAAAUUAUCUUUAUUCAACAACAUUUUGUAUAACGAUAAAACAACUCACUCUUAGAGAUACGUCUAGUAGUGAUGCACUGCUUUCAACCAACAAACCAUCUGCCUCGUUCUCGAAACUCAAGUCUGGUGAACGGUUAUCUGACAUUUCCUCAGUUUCUGGUGUGGAAUUCGUCUCAUCUGCUUCAGGGCCAUUUUCCAGGGUCUGUAAGGUAAACAAAUAAAAUUAAAUCAGCACAUCAAAGACCUAGAAAUACACAUACUUUUUCAAACUAACAUGAAAGAAUGAUGUUCAGAUACGUAAUAUUUAUGCUUCUGUAUCAUGUUGUAAACACCGUCAGAUUCUAUACCGAUAGAGUAACUGACCCAUGUUCAUUCUUGAAACCUCGUAUAGCCUAGUGGCAACAUAUCCGCUUCAAAAUAUCAGAUACCAUUGGUUCGAUCCUCGGCUGUGAGCUACAUAAAAUAAAUCAUGAACUGUGCCAUGGGUAUGUCUGCCAUUAUCCCAUGCUUGAUUGUACCACAAGGAAUCACUGAUUUGAAUAGUAAGCUCGAUUUAAUAAUCCAUCGGAAUCGUUUUAAGGUGAUAAUCUGAUUACACGCAGUGCGCAAUCUGAUUAUGUGAUGACUUAAAUUAGUAUAAGUAUUAA